AAAUUUUGACAAAAUUUGGACUUUGAGGACCUCAAUUAUCUCGAGGUUUACAAGACCAGAAAUUCUAAGAUACUAGUUGCUUCUAUGCUGUUUCUAUUGAUGGUUUGAAACAAACUUCUUCUUACCGUACAUAUACAGAUAACUUCCUCAACCAAAAGUGUCUUGAUAAGAUUGAAGCUUUUAUCUCCAAUUACUACGAAAACCAGCAAGCUUGUACUGUACUAAAGAUUUUUCUUCUACCUUGCAUCAAACUACAACUCUGGCCUGAGAACAAGAUUGUACUCCAUCUCUAGAUAAAGCUAUAAACUCCACACAGGGGCUAAAACUACACUACAACCACAGAUGAAACUGUAACUCCUUGUAUACAAAUACAUGAGGAGUAUGUUGUUCAUGUACCUUAUUCUGAUUUACUGUUAAAUCUGUGGAAAAUGCUAGCACAUUGUUCAUGUACCUUUAUACACUUAACUCUGGUUUUCAUAAUUGCUUUAUGUCUCAGUAAAAGUUCUCUUCAUUUCAUUUUUUUAUUAGUUUCAUAACUGUAUUUUAUGGGUGACAUUAUAUAGAAAUUUAACUCAUCAUAUUAAGUUUUUAUACUCCUCCCAUCAAUUCUGA
rnacentral:lncRNA from 1 species